CAAUUCUGUACGUGUCAGUCCUUCCACCUCAUAAACUUCAUCAAGUUUAAUUUUAUAGGCAUUAGCUCCUUCACCAAGAAACUUCUUUUCCAAAAAGAUUAUCCGACUGCUGACAAAUACUUUUUGUUCUGUAACGAGAUAGAAGUAGUACUCUUUAGUUUUCUUUGGGUACCUUACAAAUAAAUAUCUAUCGAACUUCGGUCCAAGCUUAUCUAUCUUUAAACGUCUGACAUAAGUUGGACACCCCCAGAUCCUA
rnacentral:lncRNA from 1 species